GGGAGAGGUACUCUGCCUCCAAGAAAGCAGAAAUAGACCAGAUGCGGUGGUACACAUCUGUAGUCCCAGCUACUCAGGACGCUGGGGUGGGAGAAUCACUUGAGCUCAGGAGUUUGAGGCUGCAAUGAGUUUAUGAUUGCACCACUGCACUCCAGCCUGGGUGACAGAAUGAGACUGCCAUCUCUCAAAAAAUAAAUACAUAGCCAGGUGCCAUGGCUCAUGCCUGUAAUCCCAACAUUUGGGAGGCUGAGGCAGGAGGAUCACUUGAGGCCAGGAGUUCAAGAUCAGCCAGCCUAGGCAACACAGCAAGAAACUGAGGCCCUUACAGACAGGGAUAAGCGAGGGGCUACGUGUAUAUUUAUCUACAAAAAUAAAAAUGAAAUUAAAAAAAAAAUUAGUGGCCAGGUGCGGUGGCUCAUGCCUGUAAUCCCAGCACUUUGGGAGGCCAAGGCAGGUGGAUCACUUGAGGUCAGGAAGUUUGAUACCAGCCUGGCCAACACGGUGAAACCCCAUCUCUACUAAAAAUGCAAAAAAAAAAACAAAAAAAAAAAUUAGCCGGGCAUGGUGGCGCAUGCCUCUGAUCCCACCUACUUGGGAGCUGAGGCAAGAGAAUCGCUUGAACCCAGGAGGCGGAGGUUGCAGUGACCCGAGAUUGCACCAUUGCACUCCAGCCUAGGCAACAAGAGUGAAACUCCAUCUCAAAAUAAAUAAAUAAAUAAUUUAAAAAAUAAAGAAAGCAAGCAGAAAUAGAUGCAUUUGCACCUUUUAAAAAUGGUGCUGAGGCUGGGCUCGGUGGCUCAGGCCUGUAAUCCCAGCACUUCGGGAGGCCGAGGUGGGCAGAUCGCCUAAGGUCAGGAGUUCAAGACCAGCCUGGCCAACAAGGUGAAAUGCUGUCUCUACUAAAAAUACAAAAAUUAGCCAAGCGUGGUGGCGGGGGCCUGUAAUCUCAGCUACUCAGGAGGCUGAGGCAGGAGAAUUGCUUGAAUCUGGGAGGAGGAGGUUGCAGUGAGACGAGAUUGCGCCAUUGCACUCCAGCCUGACAGAGCAAGACUCAGUCUCAAAAAAAAAAAAAAAAAAAAGAUGCUGGCUGGGCAUGCCUUUAAUCCCAGCACGCUGGGAAGCUGAGGCAGGAGGAUGGACUGAGCCCAGGAGUUUGUGACCACCUUGGGCAACAUAGUGAGACCUCGACUUAGUUUUUAAAAAAUGAUCCGACCGGGUGUGGUGGCUCACACCUGUCAUCCCAGAACUUUGGGAGGCCAAGGCAGGUGGAUCACCUGAAGUCAGGAGUUUGAGACCAGCCUGGCCAACAUGGUGAAACCCCAUCUCUACUAAACAUACCAAAAUCGGCCAGGCACAGUGGCUCACACCUAUAAGCCUAGCACUUUGGGAGGCCAAGGCAGGCACAUCACCUGAGGUCAGGAGUUCGAAACCAGCCUGGCCAACGUGGUGAAUCCCUAUCUCUACUAAAAAUACAAAAAUUAGCUGGGUGUGGUGGCGCGUGCCUGUAAUCCCAGCUACCUAGGAGGCUGAGACAGGAGAAUCGCUGGAACCCAGGAGGCGGAGGCUGCAGUGAGCCAAGACCGCAUCACUGCACUCCAGCUUGGGUGACACAGUGAGACUCCGUCUCAAAAACAAAAACAAAAAUAAAAAUUAGCCAGGCGUGGUGGUGGGAGCCUGUAAUCCCAGCUACUCAGGAGGCUGAGGCAUGAGAAUUGCUUGAAUUCAGGAGGCGGAGGUUGCAGUGAGCCGAGACUGCCCGGUGGGGCCUGAAGAUCCUGGGCCUGGCUCGGGGUGCACCUGGGGGACAGGCAUAGCCAUUGGAGGAGGGAGAGAGCUGGGAGUGGAGUGGGGCCUGAAGCCUGGCGGCCGCCGGUGACACUAAGUGGGUGUGUGUUGAGGGCCUCCCUGCAGUAAAGCUCCUCUCCAACAGUGUCAGGGUGCCCUGGGCAGGGUUUCUGCUCAUUCCCCAGCGGGCCACCCAGGCCUGCGUGGAGCUGAGGGAAGUGAGCCAUGAGCCAUCAGCCACUUUCCCGGAAGGACCCCGGAUAAGGGACCCACAGCAGGAGAUGGGGACAGCUGGGUCACACUCUGCAGCAGCCACGUGCUCCACUGACAGCCGGCAUCCGGCCCAUGUAGAAAGCUGACCCAAUCUCUCAUGCACCCUGCCCCUAACCAGCCACCGUCACAGCAAUGUAUGCAGUCUUGGCCACAAGCAUCGCAGGACACAAGGCCUCGGGCAGUCAUACCGCUGGCCCUGGCCCCGGCCCCACAGCCAGGCCUCUAGUCCCUGUAUGUCCUCAGGGCCCCACACAUAGGACCGGGGUUACAGUGGGCCCUAAACCACGUUUC
rnacentral:lncRNA from 10 species